UACGGGGGGGGCAAGCGUUGUUCGGAAUUACUGGGCGUAAAGGGCUCGCAGGUGGCCAACUAAGUCAGACGUGAAAUCCCUCGGCUUAACCGGGGAACUGCAUCUGAGACUGGAUGGCUUGAGAUUGGGAGAGGGAUGCGGAAUUCCAGGUGUAGCGGUGAAAUGCGUAGAUAUCUGGAGGAACACCGGUGGCGAAGGCGGCAUCCUGGACCAACACUGACGCUGAGGAGCGAAAGCUAGGGGAGCAAACGGG
rnacentral:rRNA from 1 species